GGGCGCGUAGCUCAGCGGGAGAGCACUGCAUUGACAUUGCAGGGGUCACUGGUUCAAUCCCAGUCGUGCCCA
rnacentral:tRNA from 2 species